CCGGAUUUGCGGUAGAUUUACAAAAAUUAUUUCCCCAACAAAUUUCUCUCUCCACAAAAAUCGAUCUCGUUUGUUUGGACUUCUGACGAUGACGGCAAGUACGGCUUUGGUAGCCGCUAAGACCACCUUCCGUCGACAUCUCCAACUUCAUCAGCACCUCUAUCCCAGUCGCCAACCACCCAAAAUCAAUCGGAGCCGCCGUCUGUCGAGAUUCACCUGAAUCCUCCCCAGAAGUCGCCAUAAUCGAGGAGUGGAUGCCGUCACGACCGACCCCUAUUUCCCGGUGACAAGCUCUAGUAAGCAAUCGUCAAUGACCACUACUGCAACGACCAAUCGAUCUCGGAGAGGACCUGAAUCGACGGGCGAAAACAACAUGCAGUUGUCUGAUUCAAGAGAAAAGGUUUGUUUUCGUUCCAUUUUAUCGAUUCCAAUGCUUUCAAACUAGUUUUCCCAGAUUUUCGAUUGAUUCGGUUUUUUCCAGAGAUAAAGACUCUUGCCAAUUCGCGUUUGAUUUAGUGGGAACUUGAUUUUCAUACAGAUACAAUUUGUCAUACAAUUAAAUGUUGCUACAUUGUGGUUUUCAGAAUUAAUUUUGAUUAUGCUAUGGUGGAUCAAUGAUUUUUGCCUCUUGUUUGUGGUCAAUGUUGUAUAAAUUUUUGCUUGAGUUGUGUUUUAAGAAUAGAGUUGGUGCUUAAAGUGUAAUCAGGAACAAAAUUGAAACUUCAUGAUCGAUAUUGUUGUUCUUGCGUUGGCAUUUUGUGCCUAAAAGUUUAGUUAGGAACAAGAUUGUACUUAAUUUGACAGCCUUGUUUUGGUACAAAUUAUAUCUGUAUAUAUAAUUUGGAACAUUGCUUAUUAGUUGAUUUUAGGAAGUUUAACAGCCUUGUUUUGAUUGCAUUAAUU
rnacentral:lncRNA from 1 species